GCUUACGGCCAUACCACCUUAGGCACGCCCAAUCUCGUCUGAUCUCGGAAGCUAAGCAGGGUCGGGCCUGGUUAGUA
rnacentral:rRNA from 10 species